rnacentral:lncRNA from 1 species
AAAGGUUUAUGGGACUCCCCAGUACUCUCCAUGUAGAGUCUAAUGUAGAAUCCAGGAGUGCACAGAAAAGUCACUGGAUGACACAGCAAGAGGCAACAUUUUGGAAGCAGAGGGCAACUCUCACUGGAAACCAAAUCUCCUGGCACCUUGAUCUUGGAUUUUACAGCCUCCAGAACUUUCUUUCUGUCUGCUCUAUCUCUCUGUGUCCAGGAUAGCUGGGAGGCAUUACAUAGUCAUGUGCGAGGUCAAAACUGAGUCACCACCACAACCAAGUUCCAGCUGGCAAGAAGAGGAAAAAUAACACAGAGGAGUUAUGACCAGUGUUGUAAGGAUCUGGCCUAGAAAUGGCAUGCAUCUCUUCCACUAAUAUCCUAUUGGUAAAAAUGUAGUCACAUGGGCACACCACCUAUCUGCAUGGAAGGCUGGGAAAUGUUGAUCGGUAGGGCAGCCAUAUGUGUAGGAAGGAGAAAACAGAAUUUGGUGGAUACCUAGUAGUCUCUGCCAUACCCUUGACCAGAAAUUUUUCUUCUAAAGAAUUUAAUUCUAAAAGUUAUAGACAUUCCCAAAGAUAUACCUGCAAGCAUCACAGCUUUGUGUAUAAUUGCAAAAGUUGAAAUCAACAUGAAUGCCCAAAAUAGUGAAUUAUUUAAACAGAUUAUUACCCAUAUUAUGAAGAAAUACUCUGCAACUCUUAAAAAUAAAUGUAAUGUGCCAGGCGCAAUGGGAUAUGCCUGCAGGCCCAGCUACACGGGAGGCCAAGGCAGGAGGAUCACUUGAAAUCAAGAGUUCAAGUCUAGCCUAGACAACAUAGUGAGACUUGGUCUCUAAAAAAGAAAAAAAAAAAUAAAACUGAUGUAAUGAAUAUAUAAUUACAACAAAAGAGGUCUAACACUAUAGUAGAAAAGUUUGGGGCACUCAUCCCAUUCAUAAUUAUUUUACAUUUAAAUUACUGUUCCUACUUAAGUGGUGAGCUUGGUAACCAUUUUCAUAUCAGGUGAUACUGCUGCAGUAAUCAUAGCUGUUUGAAUCAGGAAUAAUCCCAAUCACAUUUUCUCUUAAUCGUUUAUUAUACUGGGCAUUGGGGUUGCAAGAUAAUGCACAGUCCGAGCUCAAUACAUGUCUUCAUGUACCUGUAUGUAAAUCCCACUUUUAUUCUAAAAUUCUUUGAAUAUUUUGUUUCUUGGAACCCAAUGAUCCUAAGAAAAUUAUGUACUUUUACCUGAAAAUUAAAACCAAUAUUUAUAAAAAGUGUAUAUGCAGUAUGAUACCACUUUUAAAAAAAGAUAAAUUUAUAGAAAAAAGUUUAUAUGACUGACAACAAUGUCUCUGAGUGGUAGGAUUACAGUUAAUUUUUAUUUUCUUCAUUCUACUUAUCUUUAUUUUCUGAACUUUCUACAAUGAACAUGUUUUAUUUUUACUUUUGUUAAAAUAAAUAACAUUUAAUUUGACGGAAAAUUCUAAAAAUCAACAUUUGGUAACUUAAAUAUUCAUUGGCACAUGAUUCUGUGCCUGUUUCUGGGGGUCAUUCCCAUGAGAAGAGCAGGUAGAACUUAUGAGAAUAGAGCAGUCGAAAUAUUAUAGGUUUCAUAUUUUACGGCUUUAUUGAAAACAUUGAUAUAUUGAAUAUUCAUAAAUUUUAAUUUAACUUUCUUUUAUAAUCCUUAAUGUGAGGCUAAGGUAUAAGGAGAAAGGAGAUUGGUAAGGAAGUGUGAUACAUAUUGAAUCAGGUGUCAAGGUACCAUUUGUGCCUGGAUCUGACCAAUAGACCAAGGUAAAAAUCUCAAAGAAUGAGACUUGUAAUGAGAAUGCCACAAACUUGAAUACCUUAUGCACAAAACACAAACAUUGUUAUGCAUAAUGUACAUGAACCCUGAAACAAAGAUAAUGAUUUGGACCACCCAACUGAAGUGGCAUGUUAUGUUUUUGGCAUGAACAAAAGAAACAAGAGAGAAAAAAAUCAAAAUAAUUAAAAUAAAUUGUUAGAGAAAAGUUACUUUAAAAAUAGCUAUAACGCUUUGCAAUUUCAGUAACAGUUCUGCCUCUGAUGCAAUGUAAAACAUGUAUUAGACAUUCAGGCUCCACAAUAAAUUUUAAUGAGCACUACAAAUUUAGAAUAUAUAAAAAUAUCAGUAACCUAUGAAUUCAUCAACAUAACUCACUUUUCAGUUAAGUUAGGCUGAGUUGAAAUUCUACUAAGUUUUCCCAUAUUCUUGAUAAAGGCUAAAUUUGAAAUAAUUUAUUUAGAUGACUAAUUGGCAAUUUGAUAGUAGUUACAUUUUAUGUAACACUUGAUAUAAUAACCCAAAUUAAUUAGCUCAAUAUUAUCUUCUGUGGUUUAUUGAUCCAAAAGUACAUAUUUGUUAUGUAAACUUAUACUAUGUAAACUUGAAUUAGUUUUUUGCUUCCUUGAAUUAAUAAAGCCCAUUAAUGCAAAUCUAAGCCUUCAUAGACUUUUCCAAUCCUUAGUUAAAUAUUAAAAACUGAGUAUUGUAGUUAUUUGCUAGGUAUAAAAGGUGACUCAGAGUAGAGAGUAAGAUGUCAGCAAAUAGACAAUAAGAUGUCAGCAAAAGUGCCUCAAAUUUUAACUGCGUCAAGUUAAGGGCAUUGUAAAUACUGUAGUUUUAUGUAGCUUGCAACUUCUACUGAAAUGAGUUUAAUCAUGUCUUUCACAUAGCUGAAGUUUGUGUCAAGAUUUAAGCUGAUUUUCUCAUUCUUAUCAAAGUCUCACCUGGGGGUAGGGAGGGGUAGGCCUACCUCCCACCUCUAUACUAUCAUUUUAGGAACAGACAGGCAUAAAUCUGUUCAUAUGGUAGAACACAUGAUGUUAGAGUAUAUUUUGUUGAAUGCUAUGGAAUAUUAAUAUAAUUAAUUCUAAAAUAUCACCUAAAAUAUGUCAACUGAAGAUCUGACUGUACUAAAUAUGAAAAAUAAAGCAGCACAUACUUUCUCUAC